rnacentral:rRNA from 1 species
GUGGGGAAUAUUGGACAAUGGGGGCAACCCUGAUCCAGCAAUGCCGCGUGGAUGAAGAAGGUCUUCGGAUUGUAAAGUCCUUUCGGCGGGGACGAUGAUGACGGUACCCGCAGAAGAAGCCCCGGCUAACUUCGUGCCAGCAGCCGCGGUAAUACGAAGGGGGCUAGCGUUGCUCGGAAUGACUGGGCGUAAAGGGCGCGUAGGCGGUUUGAUCAGUUAGGUGUGAAAUUCCUGGGCUUAACCUGGGGGCUGCACUUAAUACGGUCAGGCUAGAGUGUGAAAGAGGGUCGUGGAAUUCCCAGUGUAGAGGUGAAAUUCGUAGAUAUUGGGAAGAACACCGGUGGCGAAGGCGGCGACCUGGUUCAUUACUGACGCUGAGGCGCGAAAGCGUGGGGAGCAAACAGGAUUAGAUACCCUUGUAGUCC